AAAAAGAACCUUUCUCCUUCGUGAAAAUGUGACCCCCCUCCUUAGCCGUUGAAACCUCAUGCCACUCGAUGUUUGCCAUCGUCUGGACCUGUUCGGAGCUGAAGUCGAACGCCAGAUCUGAGUCAGUCGCGCCUUAGUGCCCGCGUGUCGCUCUUUGUCUACGUUCCGAAGCCACCAGCGCUAUUUCUAGCCCGCGUCGUGCCAGAUCUGGAGUUUACCAGCCCCAACUUCAGCGUCAGCCACUCCCUCACACAACCUCGUUUGCCGCUCGUCCAGCGUGCCGCUCAGUCCAUCACUACUCCUCAUCGCCGUUCGCGUCGGAGCCUGUCGAGCGCCUCUGUUCUUCAGCUGUGACUCCCUAGUCAAGCCGCUCGUUUAGAUCUUCUCCGCCGCCCGAGCCCAGCCAUUGAUCUCCGUCGGUCAUUGCCUUCCUUCGUCGCUAUUCGUCGGAUUUUAGCUUAUGGUGAAGUUUUGGAUUCAAGCAUUGGAGGAAUUUUAAGGUCGAAGUGUAUUGUCAGGCAUUGCACAGGAUUAAGUUGGAUUCGCAAAUGGAUUUGAGUUUGAAACUAAUUUUUGACCAAGCAACAUUUUGGUUGAGGCAUUUGUUUGAGAUUGAAGGUAGUUUGGAACAAACUACACUUUGGACUUUAGAUUCAAGUUUUGGAGAAGUUUUGAAUUUAGAAGCAAACAACUUGAAUUUGAUUCAGACAAAAAUUUAGGUGUUAGAACUUUGAGGUGAUCUCUGUCAAACCACUAUUGGGUAAAGGUAGAGAUGCACCAGCGAUUGACAAGCGGAAUCCGUGAUCGAGCCACUGGGACCAGU